ensembl:lncRNA
GAGAGAGAGAGAGAGAGAGAGAGAGAGAGAGAGAGAGAGAGAGAGAGAGAGAGAGAGAGAGAGAGAGAUGAUGAAGACUGACACUCGCUCACACGCUUCUGUUCAGAGAAAGGUGAUCCGCCGGCCGGCAGCAUGUUGCAUCCGCUCAUGAUCUUCAUGGUCGUCGCCAACAUGUCCAUGAGCAUCAUCUUCUGGACCUUCUUGAUGUCGGAGGUCUUCUUCAAAGAGGCAGAGACGGAGGAAGUGUCUCCGGCGUAGAGUCUGUCAGCAUGUAGAUCUCACACAGCUUCAUAGAGAUUCUCCUCUGCAGCUACAGAGCGCUUUCCCCCACAUUUUAAAGUUUUCUGUCAGCCUUUUUUUCUUUUGUCCUGUUUGUUCUGUAACGGGGCUGUAAAAAGACCGUUUGGGAAUUGUGGAGUGCUUGUUCAGUUACAGACGGUUGUGUGUCCUGCAUCUAACACCUGAUUCAGCUCUUCAGAAGAGACUGUGAGGUGCUGGGGGGCAGUAUGGGAUCUGAGCAGAAGGCUUAUUAGAUAAACAGUUGGAUUAGUUUAGGAGAUGCAUAUGACAGCGUUUUCAAGUGCGAUCAGUGGAUUACAGCAGGACGAUAUCUCACGCAGAGACACUCCACUGCUGCAUGUCAGAACACCAGCAUGUUGCACUGGCUCCUGAUUUUGAUCGUCGUGUUCAACACCUCCAUCACAAUCGUGGAGUGGACGUUUCUCUUAUAUGAGCUGAUGAGGUUAAAUUCAGAAAACCCAGAUGAAGUGUGUCCGGAGCAGACAGAGCAGCACGGCUCGGGAGCAUGAGGAGUUCAAUCUCACAUCACGUGCACAAAGGAAAUAAGUGUCAAGACUGGGUCUUUGGCCCUAAAACUGAAGCUGGUGAUUCUGAGUGCGGCCGUGAAGAGGAGAGGGUUCGGAUGGAGGAAGAGCGAGCCGGUCUGCUGCCGGGAUUCAACAUCACCGAGCCCCAUCAUCAUCCCAGGAUCCGGCCUUCAUUACAUCACAUCACUAUGAGUCUACAUACAGUACAGUCUGUGCCAGCGGUCAUUACUCUGGCUUUAAUGUUUUCACUUCAUCUUUAGCAUGUUUUUAUCAGACCAGAUGCUCUUUUAGCUGCUGUAGAGAAGCAAAGCGUAGAUAACAGUCUUUCAGCAUGAAAAGAGGGCGUGGUCAUGUGAUUGUUGUGAUGUCAUCAACGAAAUCGCUGUUCUGUGAUGCCAUUAAAAUUAAUUUUCGGAUAUUUCAUAUUUUGGCACUGUAUAUUUUAUAUAUAUACUGUAUAUAUAUAUAAAACAGAAGGCAUAAAUGCUCACUGCUGACACUGCAUUCAAACAGGGUUGUGUGUUCCAAACAUAUCGUAAGAAACCAUUGAUUCUUUUGGGAAACGCAGCACAGAACAAUUCUUAUCAGAGGACAGAAAAACAUAAUAUGUUUGAGUUAUUUCCCAAUAAACAAACUGAAGUUGUAGCCUAUAGUUUGUGCAGUUACAUUUAUUUAAAUUGAACGUUAAAGUUCAUAUUGAUCAUGUUCUAUUCUAUAACUAAUGUUUAUUAUAAAUCAUACACUGUCAGAAUAUUAUGGGUGCAACUGGCAGUCAGUCCCUUAUGAAAAUGAACCAUGGUUUUACUAUAUAGUGACCAUAGUAUUUGUAGAUUUCCACGGUUACCACUACAGUAAACAUAUUUUAACCAUGUGUAAACAAAAAAGUAAUCUAAUAAGCUGCAAUUGAGGUGUACUGAAUGUUAAAUGCCUUUUUAAAUAUAAUGUUAAAUGGGUAUCAUUACCCAUUUUACUCUUAAUAAUUUACUAAUUUUAAUUACUUAAGAGUUAAGUUUAUCGGUAUCCUAUCGAAAACAAAAUAAAUGUUAUCGCCCAUCCCUACUGUGAAACAAUGGCCCAGAACAGUGCUGCCACCUUGUGCAACAACUGAGUAGUGCAAAACAAAUUCAAUGCGCAUGUGCGGCCUGCACUGACAGUGCACACAUACUAUUCUGAUCACGAGCACUGUACGCUCACCCUCGCGUACGUGUGAAAAGUGAAGUAUACUUUGGACUUGAGUCUACAUGCAGUCUGUGUCAACUGUGACUAUUCUGUCUUUUAAUGUUUUCACUUCAUCUUUAACAUGUUUUUAUCAGACCAGAUGCUCUUUUAGCUGCUGUAGAGAAGCAAAGCGUAGAUAACAGUCAUUCAGCAUGAAAAGAGGGCGUGGUCAUGUGAUUGUUGUGAUGUCAUCAACGAAAUCGCUGUGUUCUGUGAUGCCAUUAAAAUGAAUUCUGGGAUAUUUCAUAUUUUGGCACUGUAUAUAUAAAUAAACAAGAAGGCAUAAAUGAUGCAAAUGGAAA